UACAGAGGUGGCAAGCGUUGUUCGGAAUUACUGGGCGUAAAGGGCGCGUAGGCGGCUUUUUAAGUCAGACGUGAAAUCCCCCGGCUUAACCUGGGAACUGCGUCUGAUACUGGGAGCUUGAGUUCGGGAGAGGGAUGUAGAAUUCAGGUGUAGCGGUGAAAUGCGUAGAUAUCAGGAGGAACACCGGUGGUGUAGACGGCUCUCUGGACCGUAACUGACGCUGAGACACGAAAGCGUGGGUAGCAAACAGG
rnacentral:rRNA from 1 species